rnacentral:lncRNA from 1 species
UCCUUCCUGGCUCACAGAACCCUAUAAAGCAAGCUGCCAGCCCCAGGAAUUAACUACGAUAUAUCUAAAAACCCCAGUGGAGCUUGGAGUGUGUCUUCAGGACAAGCAGCAUCAGCAUCACCUGGGAACUUGUUAGAUAUGCAGAUUCUUAGGAUGCAUCCCAGACCUAACGAAUAAACCUCUCCAGGUGGAGCCCAGCCAGCUGGUUUAACAAGCCCUCCAGGUGAUUCGAAUGCACACUGAAGUCUGAGAACCACUGCUUUAAGGUAAGUUGAGAAAGCCUUGCAGAAGUGUCUCAAAAUGUCACCUGCAGCUGUAGCUAUAGGAAGCUCACGGGGUUCCACACACCCACAAGUGGUGGCAGUUCAUACAGAGUUCUUAACAGCUCUGACCGAGGCAGGAGACUAAUUAUCAAAGAAGGAGCUUCUGGGUCUCUCACAGGAGACAGGCUCUACGUUGCAAAAAUGGGCCACCAACAGCGCUUCCCCACAUGCUGGAAGAAAUGACAAGAAACUGAAUGAGCUUUUAACCCCCAGAUAUACUAGCCUGCACGUUUGAUCAUUCAGCAGGGUAGAGUUGCCCCACCACUAAAAAAGGACGUUAACAGGAAAAUAGAAGUAAACGAGCAAAUAGAAAAAAAACAGUAUUUCAAGGACAGCCAUUUAGAAAAUGACUUGAUGGAAUGAGAAUAAGACGCCCGAGCACUUUAUCACCAAUUAUCCUAAGGAGACAAUGACUAUAUUUACUCGUCUAUAUUUUCCCCUGCCUUAUUCCUGCCUCUAUUUUGAGAAGAAAAUGAAGAAAAACGUUUCCCCUGAGUUCCCUUAAGCUCACACUUUUUCGACUAACAAUGUUUGCGACAGCCAGGAGGCUCCUUGUGAGUCUAGAACACCAGUCUCUUAAAGUAGAGCAGAACACUUGCCCUUCCCGCUUUGUUUUGUUGUUGUUCUGUUUUGUUUUCAUUUUUUUAAU